rnacentral:rRNA from 1 species
UACGAAGGGGGCUAGCGUUGUUCGGAAUUACUGGGCGUAAAGCGCGCGCAGGCGGCUAUCCAAGUCAGUGGUGAAAGCCCGGAGCUCAACUCCGGAACUGCCAUUGAAACUGUUUAGCUUGAGUAUGAGAGAGGUGAGUGGAAUUCCCAGUGUAGAGGUGAAAUUCGUAGAUAUUGGGAAGAACACCGGUGGCGAAGGCGGCUCACUGGCUCAUUACUGACGCUCAGGCCGCGACAGCGUGGGGAUCAAACAGG